CUUCCAGACGACAUUUCUGUGCAAAGUCUGCUCGGGGACAGUGGUGAAGGCCGCUUCCAGGACUCGAUUUCCAGGCCCAAGGGGAGUGUGCCGGAGCUCACUGGUGCCUUCUGGCAGCAGGUGCUGGAUGCCGUCUGCUUGACCGUGGGGUCCGCGGGCUGCCCUGCCGGGGAGGCUGUGGCGCCCUCUGCACCCUCUUGUCCCAGCCUGAGACUCUGCUGUGGGCCUAGACAUGUCACCAGGAAGACCGGCUGAACCUUCCUGCCUACACAGUGCUUAUCAGCAGCUGAGCUUCCUGUGGUCACUACAGAGGAGUGAAGACUUUGGGGCCGAAGGAGAGGCCUGGGCAGCAGGUGGAUGGGUCCUGCCCCGCUCCAGCCUGGGCUUCUGAGCGCACACCCCAUGGACCCCUGCAGGAAGAAGCCUGAGGUCAACCCCUCCCUUGGCAGGCCAUCAACCUGCCUCCAAGCAGAGCAGUGCCCACCAGGGGCCGGAACCCUUGG